UACGGGGGGGGCAAGCGUUUGUUCGGAAUUACUGGGCGUAAAGGGCUCGUAGGCGGCCAACUAAGUCAUACGUGAAAUCCCUCGGCUUAACCGGGGAACUGCGUCUGAUACUGGAUGGCUUGAGAUUGGGAGAGGGAUGCGGAAUUCCAGGUGUAGCGGUGAAAUGCGUAGAUAUCUGGAGGAACACCGGUGGCGAAGGCGGCAUCCUGGACCAACACUGACGCUGAGGAGCGAAAGCCAGGGGAGCAAACGGG
rnacentral:rRNA from 1 species